UUUUUUUUUUAAGGAAAACAGCUGGCACAUUAUUUUAUUUUAUUUUAUAAUUGUUAUUGACUUAAAUUAAAUUAAUUACAUUACUCCUUUGACUUAGAAGUGUUCUCUUUCUCUUCAACUAUUUCCAAACCCUUCUUCCUCCAAGUUUCAACUUCUCCAAAAAUUUUAUUACCCCAUUCCGAACCCAAAUCACUUCUUGUCGUUGCCGCCCC
rnacentral:lncRNA from 1 species